rnacentral:rRNA from 1 species
GUAGGGAAUAUUGGGCAAUGGGUGCAAGUCUGACCCAGCCAUGCCGCGUGCAGGAAGAAGGUCCUCUGGAUUGUAAACUGCUUUUUUGGGGGAAGAAUAGUUUUCUUGCGAGGAAAUGUGACGGUACCCUAAGAAUAAGCCACGGCUAACUACGUGCCAGCAGCCGCGGUAAUACGUAGGUGGCAAGCGUUGUCCGGAUUUAUUGGGUUUAAAGGGUGCGUAGGUGGUUUGAUAAGUCAGUGGUGAAAGCCGGUUGCGCAACAAUCGAGUUGCCAUUGAUACUGUCGGACUUGAGAGAAGUGGAGGUUCAUGGAAUGGAUGGUGUAGCGGUGAAAUGCAUAGAUAUCAUCCAGAACGUCGAUUGCGAAGGCAGUGGGCUGUACUUUAUCUGACACUGAGGCACGAAAGUGUGGGGAUCAAACAGGAUUAGAUACCCGUGUAGUCC